rnacentral:rRNA from 1 species
GAUGAACGCUGGCGGCGUGCUUAACACAUGCAAGUCGAACGGUGAAGCAGGAGCUUGCUCUUGUGGAUCAGUGGCGAACGGGUGAGUAACACGUGAGCAACCUGCCCCUGACUCUGGGAUAAGCGCUGGAAACGGCGUCUAAUACUGGAUAUGUGAUGUGACCGCAUGGUCUGCAUCUGGAAAGAAUUUCGGUUGGGGAUGGGCUCGCGGCCUAUCAGCUUGUUGGUGAGGUAAUGGCUCACCAAGGCGUCGACGGGUAGCCGGCCUGAGAGGGUGACCGGCCAGACUGGGACUGAGACACGGCACAGACUCCUACGGGAGGCAGCAGUGGGGAAUAUUGCACAAUGGGCGGAAGCCUGAUGCAGCAACGCCGCGUGAGGGAUGACGGCCUUCGGGUUGUAAACCUCUUUUAGCAGGGAAGAAGCGAAAGUGACGGUACCUGCAGAAAAAGCACCGGCUAACUACGUGCCAGCCGCCGCAGUAA